AGAGAGAGAGAGAGAGAGCACAGAAAUGAGAGAAGGAUAUAACAGGAGAGGUCUCACUCAGAGAGAGAGAGAGAGAGAGCACAGAAAUGAAAGAAGGAUAUAACAGGAGAGAGGAGCCAUCCUGUUGAAGUGUAAAUGUGUCCUUAAAUGUGUUACUUUCCACAUGUGUUAUUUUGUUUUAUAACCAUCUUUAUUUAUGUACUUUUCAGUUGUUCCUCGCUACAUAGCAGAUCCACGUGGACUGCAUUCACGGGUUACAAAAGAAUACUAUUAACAAGUGAGAAAUACAGAUAUUUACAUAUAUUUAUUUUUAUUGGUAUUGAAAUACAUUCUAAUAUUGCCCUGGCAUCACUUUAACUAUGCCAUUGUGGCAUGCUCUCCACAUCAUUCAAUUCAAAAUGAGUUGGUCUGCGUAUGCAGGUGUAUAGAAGCGCUAUACUUUAAGUACACAUUUGGACCUGUAAAAACCAAAGCUUCUACUCUGUAAGAUCUUCAUGAAGUACUAUGGAAGUAGUACAUACGAAGAACAUCAAGCAGCUGUGUUAUUCAGAGAUCCCUGGGAACUUAAUAAUCAAACUGUUUCUCACUCUGAGAAUACAAGACGUCCCCCUAUGUGCAUAUAUGGCUUUGCUUUGUGACAAUGGGUUUUCUUGCACACGUACCUGUAGCUCUGUGAGGUCCAAAGUCCCUGUGGCCAAAAUUCAUCAGUGACCUGAAACAGGUGGCUGAUAAGGUCAUACCAAGGUCAAGGUACUGUCAACAUCAAAAGAAGGUUUGAAUAUUGACAAUUUGUUGAAGAUUCGGCAGUUGUGUUUAUUGAUGAACUAAUAGACAUGCCUCUUAAUUAGGAACACACAUGCACUCAAUGUUAACGGUGAAGGACAAUCAAAUUCACAAAGCAAUGGAUAUAGUUUAAAAGUCUCACUGAAUCAAAAUAUUUCUUUUAAAUGUUUUAUUUUAUUUUGUGCCAAAUACAUUUUGUCUCAGCCUCUAUGAUCUUACGAUGCUUUAUUUGCUCAUCAUCAACCUUUAUUUAUUGUCAAUGUUGCUGUUUGCUCGUCAAGCCAUGAGCUCUCUAUGACAACGUGACGUUGUUUCUCCGUGUGAUGUCACAUUUGGUUUAGUUAAUAACAGUUUGGUCUUUGAAGAGGCUGCGCAGUAAACCGGAAUACAGGAACACUGAAUUAUUCUCAUCCACAAACCUCUCUGAAUAACUUCCUGUUUGGACCGGACCCUCCUGCUCUCUGUCUGCGGUGGCGCGACUGACUGACUACAUCGCAGACGUUUCAUUGCAUCAACCAAUAGUUAUGCGCCACAGUCCGACAUCAGAUUGCUAUGUCGUAUGAUGUGGUUAGCAGAUAUGUUAAACACACAAGUGUUGGGAUAUGGCAGGCGUCUGCAAUUUAGUCAGGCAGGAACGCCACCUAUGACUCUGCACCCCGGGUUAGAUCCCGGGCUGUAUCACAACCGGCCGUGAUCGGGAGUCCCAUAGGGCGGCGCACAAUUGGCCCAGUGUCGUCCGGGUUAGAGGAGGGUAUGGCCGGUGUAGGCCGUCGUUGUAAAUAAGAAUUGGUUCUUAACUGACUUGCCUAGUUAAAUAAAGGUUCAAAUAAGAAGGGAAAAGCUCCAUCUCAGGGUCCUCAUUGUCUGUGACCCUAACUUCCUGAAAGAUUGACCUCCCAGCAACAUUUUUUAACUGUCUAAGGCCGAGAUGUGUGUGUUUGUGUGGCCGGGAUGCUUGUGUGUGUGUGUGUGUUUGUAUGUGCAUGCGUAUGUAUGUUUGCGUGUGUGUGUGUGUCUGUAUGUGCAUGCGUAUGUAUGUUUGCGUGUGUGUGUUUGUAUGUGCAUGCGUGUGUGUGUGUGUGUGUGUUUGUAUGUGCAUGCGUAUGUAUGUUUGCGUGUGUGUGUGUUUGUAUGUGCAUGCAUACGGAUGUUUGUGUGUGUGUGUGUUUGUAUGUGCAUGCGUAUGUAUGUUUGCGUGUGAGUGUGUUUGUAUAUGCAUGUGUAUGUAUGUUUGCGUGUGUGUGUGUUUGUAUGUGCAUGCGUAUGUAUGUUUGCGUGUGUGUGUGUGUUUGUAUGUGCAUGUGUAUGUAUGUUUGCGUGUGUGUGUGUUUGUAUGUGCAUGCGUAUGUAUGUUUGCGUGUGUGUGUGUGUUUGUAUGUGCAUGCGUAUGUAUGUUUGCGUGUGUGUGUGUGUUUGUAUGUGCAUGUUUGUAUGUUUGCGUGUGUGUGUGUUUGUAUGUGCAUGCGUAUGUAUGUUUGCGUGUGUGUGUGUGUUUGUAUGUGCAUGCGUAUGUAUGUUUGCGUGUGUGUGUGUGUUUGUAUGUGCAUGCGUAUGUAUGUUUGCGUGUGUGUGUGUGUUUGUAUGUGCAUGCGUAUGUAUGUUUGCGUGUGCUUGCGUGCAAGAUACUGCAUGCCUGUUAAAAAAAGGCCACUGGAUAUGAUGAAAUUAGAAUGUAGUUUUGGAACUCCCGUGUCUUCACGUAUAACAAGAGAGACAGCCUUAGCAUUUUGUUUGGAGGCCAGGUGCUAUACUAAGAUGGCUCAGAGAAGUUGCAUUGAAGUUCAGUGAUUGGGCAGAAUAUUGCAAAGGCUCAUGGGCCAAAGAAAAUCAGGAUGCAGGAGCAUCUUUCUUUUCAACUCACUUUUGGUUAUAAGGGAACGGAAAUAUAAGGUGUGAAAGGUAUGCAGUCUCUGAUAGAGUUGUUAUGGUAAAUAUUACCAUAAUGUUGACACAUUAUGUUUAAUAUGAUUAUUAUUAUUUUAAUAUUGUUAUAUUGAAUUAUCUCCUGCUAUCAAUGUUAUAAAGACAUGUAGAUGUGUAUAGCAAGUUUGGGGGUAAAUGUUUUACAAAUAAAUACUUUAAUAUAAAUCUGUUAAAAAUGUUUUAGUAUGAAGAUUUUUUUAUCUGGGUUAUGAAUAAAUAUCACAACUUAAAACAAUGUAUUAUUUGUAUUGCUAAUUUAUACACCUAUGUCCGGCACCUAUGUCUGAAUGAUAAUUAAUCAUUUUUCUUGAUGAAUUCUUUGAUAGCAAUAUGAAUUAGCCGCUUGUGCUGUCCUUUAUUGGCAAAACAAAUCUUCAUCGCUGGUGCUGGUGACACUGCUCUGUUUCGACCAAUGAGAAGGGUGCUCUAUGGUGGAAUCUAGAGUGCCUUGCACCACGUUCCAUGACUAACACGAAUGCAGUGAGCAGUGUACUCACAGUAUGAUGAGUGCAAGGUUGGGGUCAAUCCCAAUUUAAUUUGAAAUUCCAAUUAAAUUCUUGAAUUCACUCAUGAACUGGAGAAUUUACGUUGAAAUCAAUUUGAAUUUCAACAAAUGUUCAAGUUUUGGAAUUGGACUUGGACUUUUUAUUUUAAAUAAUUUUAACUUGUACCUCUAUAAAUCCAGUAUACUGUAUCUAGGCUGCCUGAACCGUGACAAGAUCAGCCUGGGGGAAUUUAAUUGGAAUGGGAAUUUGUGGAAUUGUUGGGGAUAAUAUUGAAUUGGAAAUGAUGUAAUUAUUGGAAUUUACCUAACAUUGGAAUUGAGAGGAAUUGAAUUAUCUCUGAAUUCCAAAUCUGACCUGGAAUAUGAAUGGAAUUAAAUGGAAUUUACAGGGAGAAGGAAUUGAAUUAGAAUUAAAUUUGUGGAAUUAACCCCAA
ensembl:lncRNA